rnacentral:sRNA from 1 species
GCCAGGCAUGGUGGUGCCCGCCUGUAGUCCCAGCUACUCGGGAGGCUGAGGCAGUAGGAUUGCUUGAGCCCAGGAGAUUGAGGUUGCUGUGAGCUAGGCUGAUGCCACGGCACUCACUCUAGCCUGGGCAAUAGAGUGAGACUCUGUCUCUAAAUAAAUAAAUAAAGACAGGGUCUUGCUGUUUUGCCCAGGCUGGAGUGCAGUGGCAUGAUUAUAGCUCACUGAAACUUCAAACUCCUGGGCUCAGGAGAUCCUCCUGUCUCA